CCUACGGGAGGCAGCAGUGGGGAAUAUUGGACAAUGGGGGCAACCCUGAUCCAGCCAUGCCGCGUGUGUGAAGAAGGCCCUCGGGUUGUAAAGCACUUUCAGUGAGGAAGAACGCCUGGUGGUUAAUACCCAUCAGGAAAGACAUCACUCACAGAAGAAGCACCGGCUAACUCCGUGCCAGCAGCCGCGGUAAUACGGAGGGUGCGAGCGUUAAUCGGAAUUACUGGGCGUAAAGCGCGCGUAGGUGGCUUGAUAAGCCGGUUGUGAAAGCCCUGGGCUCAACCUGGGAACGGCAUCCGGAACUGUCAAGCUAGAGUGCAGGAGAGGAAGGUAGAAUUCCCGGUGUAGCGGUGAAAUGCGUAGAGAUCGGGAGGAAUACCAGUGGCGAAGGCGGCCUUCUGGACUGACACUGACACUGAGGUGCGAAAGCGUGGGUAGCAAACAGGAUUAGAUACCCUAGUAGUC
rnacentral:rRNA from 1 species